UUUUAGCUUGCUAAAGAUGACGACCGGCGAACGGGUGCGUAACGCGUAUAGAAUCUACCUCUUACUAAGGGAUAGCCCAGAGAAAUUUGGAUUAAGACCUUAUAGUAUGCAGACUUGGCAUCAAGACUGCAUUAAAGAUUACGGUAGGAGAUGACUAUGCGUCCUAUUAGCUAGAUGGUGUGGUAACGGCACACCAUGGCAACGAUAGGUAGGGGCCCUGAGAGGGGGAUCCCCCACACUGGUACUGAGACACGGACCAGACUCCUACGGGAGGCAGCAGUGAGGAAUAUUGGACAAUGGAGGCAACUCUGAUCCAGCCAUGCCGCGUGCAGGAAGACUGCCCUAUGGGUUGUAAACUGCUUUUAUACAGGAAGAAACACUGCUACGUGUAGCAGCUUGACGGUACUGUAAGAAUAAGGAUCGGCUAACUCCGUGCCAGCAGCCGCGGUAAUACGGAGGAUCCAAGCGUUAUCCGGAAUCAUUGGGUUUAAAGGGUCCGUAGGUGGAUAAUUAAGUCAGAGGUGAAAUCCUGCAGCUCAACUGUAGAAUUGCCUUUGAUACUGGUUAUCUUGAGUUAUUAUGAAGUAGUUAGAAUAUGUAGUGUAGCGGUGAAAUGCAUAGAUAUUACAUAGAAUACCAAUUGCGAAGGCAGAUUACUAAUAAUAUACUGACACUGAUGGACGAAAGCGUGGGGAGCGAACAGGAUUAGAUACCCUGGUAGUCCACGCCGUAAACGAUGGUCACUAGCUGUUCGAACUUCGGUUUGAGUGGCUAAGCGAAAGUGAUAAGUGACCCACCUGGGGAGUACGUUCGCAAGAAUGAAACUCAAAGGAAUUGACGGGGGCCCGCACAAGCG
rnacentral:rRNA from 1 species